AAUAAUACUAGCCGAACGCUGAACUCGGGAAUAAAGCAGCAGUAACAAAGAUUAGCAAAGGGGAGAAAAGUCAUGAUGGAUGAGGCUGAUGGGAGUUAGAGUACAACAGCAUCUGGAGGGCUACAGUUUCCCCUAUCUCUGCCUUAAGGCCUACACCACAAGGAGGAGGAAGAGGAGGAGGAUUCAAGAAGUAUAACUAACUACAUUGCUGCACACAUUCCUGAGAGGCUCUGCAACCCAGAACUACAACAAACACCACCACCACCCCAUUUUUCCAACCCCAUUUGGAAGAGGGAGAUGUUGAAGUGAUUGGGUAGAUCAUGUGUUUGUGUGUAUUAUUGAUACUGGGAGUAGUAGGUAUUGCAUGUAGGUGUAUAACAGAAUUUGGGUGUGAUGUGUCUGUGUCAGUGAAGUGAGUGUUGUAUAUCGUGAGUCAAGAUGUGCCUUGGCAAGAGAGAGGCUGAAGAGGGAACUCUGACUCUUAAGAUGUUUUCAAAAUGUGCUG